GACGUAGGGCGCGAGCGUUUGUCCGGAUUUAUUGGGCGUAAAGAGCUCGUAGGCGGUUUGUCGCGUCGUUCGUGAAAACUCCACGCUUAACGUGGAGCGUGCGGGCGAUACGGGCAGACUUGAGUUCGGUAGGGGAGACUGGAAUUCCCAGUGUAGCGGUGAAAUGACGUAGAUAUCUGGAGGAACACCGGUGGCGAAGGCGGCAUCCUGGACCGGCAUUGACGCUGGAGGCGGCGAAAGCCAGGGGAGCAAAGCGGG
rnacentral:rRNA from 1 species